rnacentral:rRNA from 1 species
AGGACGAACGUUGGCGGCGUGCCUUACACAUGCAAGUCGUACGCGAAAGGGGAACUCAGCUUGCUGGGGACCCCCGGUAGAGUGGCGAACGGGAGCGUAACACGUGAGGAACCUGCCUCGGAGUGGGGAAUAACCCAGAGAAAUCUGGGCUAAUUCCGCAUGCUGCAGCGGCCCCGCAUGGGGACAGUUGUGAAAGACCGCCUCUGCUUGCAAGCGGUCGCUUCGAGAUGGUCUCGCGGCCUAUCAGCUAGUUGGCGGGUAAUGGCCCACAAGGCGACGACGGGUAGCCGGCCUGAGGAGGGUGUCCGGCCUCGAUUGGGACUGAGCACGGCCCAGACUCCGUACGGGAGGCAGCAGUGAGGAAUCUUGCGCAAUGGCGAAAGCCUGACGCAGCGACGCCGCGUGAGGAUGAAGCCGUUCGGUAGUAACCUCGUGUCGAGGGAAGACGUCGGAGUCGGUAGACGUACCCGGCUCCGCGUGACGGUCGCCCCG